UACCGCCCUCGGGUAGAGUGCCGUGGCGUCACACGGCUGACAGCAACCUCUAACUCUUGGGCUUACGCGAUUCUCCUGCCUCAGCCUCCAGAGCAGCUGGGACUACAGGCGCCCGCCACAACGCCCGGCUAGCAAAGAAUAAUUUCUAUUCCUUUAAAUUUACUGAGGUUAGACUUGUGACCUAAGAUGUGAUCGAUUUUGGAGUAUGUCCCGUGGGCUGAUGAGAAGAUUUUUCUAAAAAACAUUCCGGAAAGCAUUUUUGCAAAAAGUCUCUACCACGAGUGGCUGUCCGUAAUGGAGAAAAGCAGCGACAGACAGAAAAUUGAAAAAAUUAAAAGGCUAUUAGACCAGCUACCAAGAGCAAACGUUGUUCUCAUACGGUACGUGUUCCUGGUGUUAAGUAAUAUCGCUGAACUCUCCGCGGCAAAUGAAAUGGAUGCUUUACACUUAGGGGUGUGUAUGGCUCCAAGUAUUAUAUGGCAUCCUUCUGCAAGCAGAGAAGAAAUGACCUCUGCAGAAAAGCUUGUGGAAUUUGUGAUUAAAAACUGCCGCAACAUCUUUGGAGGACACGUCACUGCCCUGUUUGGAGAGUCAUCCGGAAUAUAAAAUACUCAGGAUAAACCCUCAGAUACAUCUAGCUUUCCAGAGAGCAAUACUUCCUCAUGUGAGAGCUUGAAGAAAAAAGCGACUGUGCUGCUGGCCCACAGUGUGAUGAAUCAAAGAAAAUCGUCCAAUUAAAUUGAAGCAUUGACUCGCUUAUAAUGUUUCUGGACUCUGGCCUUGAUGCCCUUGAAUUCUAAAUGAGCUUCAGAGCCUCCUGUAUGACUUUUAGUUUAGGUGGACCAGCCUCCUAAAGACAAGCCGAUGGAUGUAAUAAUGUGCAGAGAUAUUCCACCACAGAAUCCUGCCAAGAUUCUGUCUGGCACUUGUCCACAGCUGCAGCAUAUGUUAAAAAAAGAAAAUAGAAAAUGCUGUAAGCUGUCCUGUAUAAGCUCCACCUGAUCUACAAGGCUAAUUCUAUCACAUUAACAGCUGUGGCUCACCUGUAGCCCUAGCUACUUGGGAGCUGAUUUCCCAGCAGAAACUUUGUAGGACAGAUGAAGAGUUCCUAUCUUGAAUGCACUUCAACAAAUUUCUGACAGUGUAGCAUUCUUUAACCUGCAAACUACAGUUCGUAUUUGAUGGAGGAAUCAAAUCUUCUCCUGACAUGCAAAAAAAAGUGAAGCUGAAUAGCUCUAUCUUGAGAAAAUACAUCUAACUUCCAUGAAGAAAUAAAGACAGAGGAUAAAAAGUUGGAAAAGUUUGAAACUAAGCAUGAAAGUGCACAAUCAAAGUCAGGCCAUUCAACACAAUGAGGAGGAGGAAGAGGAGGAUGAGGAAGAGGAGGACGAGGAAGAGGAGGAAGCAGAGGAGGAGAAGGAGGAGUCCAAACCAAGAGUGAAAAUGAUACUGCUAAUGUUUUUAAUCUCAGAUUGAUUAUUCAGUAUGAAUUACUAAAAAGUUAAUAAAUCGUUCACCAAGUUGAUUAUUGGGGAGGAUUAAAAAGUUUAGAUAAAAGAAUGCAAUGAAAAUGAUCUGAAUUUCUAGCCAAAAAGUCAUGGCUGUUCCAUCAUGAAAAAGCACCAGUUCACGCAGCACUGUCUGUGAGGGAGUUAAGAGCAAGCAACAUCAUUUUCACUCUUGGUUUGGACUCCUCCUUCUCCUUCUCCUCUUCCUCCUCCUCUUCUUCCUCCUCUUCUUCUUCCUCCUCCUCCUCUUCCUCCUCCUCCUCUUCACCCUCCUCUUCCUUCUUCUCCUCCACCUCUUCCUUUCCCUCAUCUUUUUCCUCCUCCUCGUCUUCUUCAUCCUCCUUUUCCUCCUCUUCCUCUUCCUCCUUCUCCUCCUCCUCUUCUUCCUCCUCUUCCUACUCCUCUUCCUCCUCGUGUUCCUCCUCUUCCUCCUCCUCUCCCUCUUCCUAUUCCUCCUCUUUGUUUUCCUCUUCCUCUGCCUCUUAUUCUUCCUCAUAUUCCUCCCCUUUCUCUUCUUCCUCCACUUCCUGCUCAUUCACUGGGUAAAAAUUUAGAAAACAAUAUUAUUUUAUACUAUUGUAAAUCCUAAGAACCUGGAAGUUGUAGUUCUCAUUGCAGAUACCAGUGACUUUAAAGCAGCAAAAGUAAAAUUAGACAUAUUAUAAUUGUUCUGAAAACCAUGUUUGCAAACAAUCCAGGUUUGGGGUUGUUUUAUCACUGCUUAAAAAAAAAAUGAAAUACCAAUACAAGCCUGAAACUAAGCAUCAAAGUGCACAACGGAAGUCAGGCAAUUCUCCACAAGAAGAGGAGGAUGCAGAGGAGAACAAGGAGGAUGACAAUAAGGAGGAGGAGGAGCUGAAAUGAGCAGGAAAGAGUGGAAGAAAGAAGAGCAGGAGUGGAAUUGGAGGAGGUAGAUUAGGAGGAGGAAAAAAAGAAAGAAGAGAAGGAAGAAGAGGAGGAAGAGAAGGUGAAGGAGGAGAAAGAGGAGGAGGAGGAAAAGGAGGAGAAGGAGGAGGAAAAAGAUACGGAGGAGGAAGAGGAGGAGGAGAAGAAGGAAGAGGAAGAUGUAGAGAAGGAGGAGCAGGAAGAGGAGGAGGAGGAAGAAGAAUAGGAGGAGGAAGAAGAGGAGGAGGAAGAGGAGAAGGAGAAGGAGGAGUCCAAACCAAGAGUGAAAAUGAUGUUGCUUGCUCUUAACUUCCUCACAGACAGUGCUGUGUGAACUGGUGCUUUUUCAUGAUGGAAGAGCCAUGACUUUUUGGCUAAAAAUUCAGACCUUUUUCAUUGCAUUCUUUUAUCUAAACUUUUUAAUCCUCCCCAAUAAUCAACUUGGUGAACGAUUUAUUAACUUUUUAGUAAUUCAUACUGAAUAAUCAAUCUGAGAUUAAAAACAUUAGCAGUAUCAUUUUCACUCUUGGUUUGGACUCCUCCUUCUCCUCCUCUUCUUCCUCCUCUUCCUGCUCCUCCUCUUCCUCCUCGUGUUCCUCCUCUUCCUCCUCCUCUCCCUCUUCCUAUUCCUCCUCUUCCUUUUCCUCUUCCUCUGCCUCUUGCUCUUCCACAUCUUCCUCCUUUUUCUCUUCUUCCUCCACUUCCUGCUCAUUCACUGGGUAAAAGUUUGGAAAACAAUAUUAUUUUAUACUAUUGAAAAUCCUAAGAACCUGGAAGUUGUAGUUCUCAUGGCAGAUACCAAUGACUUUAAAGCAGCAAAAGUAAAAUUAGACAAAAAUACAUAUUAUAAUUGUUCUGAAAAAUAUGUUUGCAAACAAUCCAGGAUUGGGGUUGUUUUAUCACUGCUGAAAAAUAAAAUGAAAUACCAAUACAAGCCUGAAAAUAAGCAUCAAAGUGCACAAUGGAAGUCAGGCAAUUCUCCACAAGAAGAGGAGGAUGCAGAGGAGAACAAGGAGGAUUAACAUAAGGAGGAGGAGGAGCUGAAAUGAGCAGAAAAGAGUGGAAGAAAGAAGAGCAGGAGUGGAAUUGGAGGAGGUAGAUUAGGAGGAGGAAGAAGAGAAAGAAGAGAAGGAGCAAGAGGAGGAGGAAGAGAAGGAGAAGGAAGAGGAGGAGGAGAAAGAGAAGAAGAGGAAGAGGAGGUGGAGGAAAAAGAUGAGGAGGAGGAAGAAGAGGAGGAGGAAGAGUAGGAUGAAGAGGAAGAGGAGGAAGAGGAAUACGAGGAAGAGGAGGAGGAAGAGGAGAAAGAGAAGGAGGAGUCCAAACCAAGAGUGAAAAUGAUAUUGCUAAAGUUUUUGAUCUCAGAGUAAUUAUUCAGUAUGAAUUUGUUAAAAAAAUAAACAAAUGGUUUACCAAGUUGAGUUUGGGAAGUAUUAAAAAGGCUAGAUAAAAAAAAAAUCAACAGAAAAGGUCUGAAUUUGUAGCCAAAAAGUCAUAGCUCUUCCAUGAUGACAAGGCACCAGAUCACAUAGCACUGUCUGUGAGGGAGUUAAUAGUGAGCAACAUCAUUUUCACUCUUGGUUUGGCCUCCACCUCCUCCUCCUGCUCCUCCUGCUCCUCCUCCUCUUCCUCUUCUUCAUCUUUCUCCCCCUCUUCCUCCUGAUCUUCAUCAUCCUCCCUACUUGUCUCAUCUGUCCAUGAUGACUUAUUCCUUUCUGUGAAGGUAAUGAAAACAUUGAAAGGAAAACAUUUUGAUGAUAUUCAGGACAUCAACAGUAAUAUGAGAUUAACUCUAAUGGCCAUUCCAGAAAAAGAUACUAGACAUCACCAAAGGACUAAUAACCAGAAUAUAUAGGUGUUCAAGAACAUCUUGAGGAAUGCAUCUUCACGGUUCCAGAUGGCAUCCUUUUACUUCCAUUCCAUGAAGUCGUAUAAAGAUAAAGACCUUUCUGGCUAAGAAAGGAGGCAGAUCUCUUGAAGGCAAAGCAGAAUUACCAGUGUGCUGAAUCACUGCCAAUCCCUGGCCAUUGAAUUUAGAUCUGAAAGAGGCCCUGGCUCUGAACAGGCACCUUGCGAAUCAGAAGAGAAGAAAACAAAGCCAUGAUGCAGUCAUCAAACGUGGAGACCUAUGAUAUGGAUACUGAAAGUGAAUCUAAGAAGAUAGCCCAUGACAUCAGAUGAGGAGGAUUAUGAUCAUGUGUGUUUAUACCCAGAAGACCAAAAAGCACAUCAUAACAAAGAUAUUUGUACCAGAAUGUUUAUUGCAGCUCAAUUCAUAAUUGCUAAGUCAUGGAAGAAGUCCUCAGUUUUUCUUUUUACUGAAGUACACCCUUUAAAAGCUUGCUAUGACAUGAUUUGUGUGUGGUAAAAAUACCAAACUUUAUUUUUAAAAAAAUAUUUUUAUUUUGUUUUCACACUUGACUAAUACUUCUAGGACAGCAAUUGUUUUCCUUCAUCAACUUUGAAGAUCUUGUUCCACUGUCUUUUGGCAUCUCUUGUUGCUGAUGAGAAGACCACUGCAGGACUAAAUUAUAGGAAAUCUUUUUUCUUUGUUUGCCUUUGACAUUUUCUCUGUUGUUGAUAUUCUGAUGGUUUACCAUUAAUGCGAUCAUGGGGCAUGAUCAUAGUGCUAAUUUAUUUUAUUUACAUCUUCUUCUUUAGUUCUAGUAAAUUCUCCACCAUCACCUCUUCACAUUUGCCUCUUCUUAUUCUUUCUCUUCUCUCCUUCUACAACUUUUAUUAGAUGUUAAUUUCUUAACUUGGUGUUCUGCACAAACUAAUACUGUGAAGUCACAGUGAGGAACUGAUUUAUUUCAUUUUAUUUUAAUUAAUUUAAACUUAAAUAGCCUCACAUGGCUUAGAAAUUAAAGUUUAGAAAGAACAGCUCUAAAUAAAUUUUAAAGUAUGUGUGUGUUAUAUGUGCAUGUUAUAACACAGCAAGAAAGUCUUCACCAGAGGCACCCUCAGACUUGAACUCCCUAGUCUCCAGAAUUAGACAAAUAAAUUUCUAUCGUCUCAGGUAAUCUCAGUUAUUCUUUUAAAUUUCUCUUAAAUUUCUCAGGUCUCUAUAGUCUCAGGUAUUCUUUUACAGCAGCACAAAAUGGACUAAGACAAUAGGUAUGCAAAUGUGUAUACAUACAUAUAUGUGUAUAUACACACACGCACACACACAUAUACAUGAAUGUGUGUAGGCACAUACACACGUGUACAUACAAAUAAGUCAUAGAGGACAAAAUAAGU